UACGUAGGGGGCAAGCGUUGUCCGGAAUCAUUGGGCGUAAAGAGCUUGUAGGCGGUUUGUCGCGUCUGCUGUGAAAAUCCGGGGCUCAACCCCGGACUUGCAGUGGGUACGGGCAGACUAGAGUGUGGUAGGGGAGACUGGAAUUCCUGGUGUAGCGGUGAAAUGCGCAGAUAUCAGGAGGAACACCGAUGGCGAAGGCAGGUCUCUGGGCCACUACUGACGCUGAGAAGCGAAAGCAUGGGGAGCGAACAGG
rnacentral:rRNA from 1 species